GGGUAAAUGACUAGUUUGUUUACAAUAUUUGACACUGCUAACUUUUUUGAAAAUGUCAAAUGUGCGACACGAGUCAAAGAUUGCUAUCUUCAAGUAAAUAUGAAAGUAGGAAUCUGAAUUAUAUAUAAGCUUCUCAAGAUAUCUUAUAAACUAAAAUAAGAAAAAAUGUUGAAAUCCUCAGAAGAAUUUAAGAAAUGUUUGGAAGAAAUUAAGCUGGGGUUUAUGGAAACGGUUGAAGGAUUUGGGCCUUUUCUAAGGCAAAUGAAGCAGGAGCGGAUACAGGAGACUGAAGACAUUGGCAGAUUUAUAAAGAAUUGUGAUGGUAAUAGCGCAUUCGCCAUCAAGGGUUAUAACCUGGUAUGGGUUUUCUCCUAAUUGCUUGAUUAUUCUUUUAAUUGAUAAUGGUAUUCAUUUGUUGGUAUUAAACCCCA
rnacentral:misc_RNA from 1 species